CACUCCUGCGGGAGGCAGCAGUGGGGAAUAUUGGACAAUGGGCGCAAGCCUGAUCCAGCCAUGCCGCGUGAGUGAUGAAGGCCCUAGGGUUGUAAAGCUCUUUCACCGGUGAAGAUAAUGACGGUAACCGGAGAAGAAGCCCCGGCUAACUUCGUGCCAGCAGCCGCGGUAAUACGAAGGGGGCUAGCGUUGUUCGGAUUUACUGGGCGUAAAGCGCACGUAGGCGGACUAUUAAGUCAGGGGUGAAAUCCCGGGGCUCAACCCCGGAACUGCCUUUGAUACUGGUAGUCUUGAGUUCGAGAGAGGUGAGUGGAAUUCCGAGUGUAGAGGUGAAAUUCGUAGAUAUUCGGAGGAACACCAGUGGCGAAGGCGGCUCACUGGCUCGAUACUGACGCUGAGGUGCGAAAGCGUGGGGAGCAAACAGGAUUAGAUACCCGAGUAGUCCCA
rnacentral:rRNA from 1 species